AGGGAUAUAACUCAGUUGGUAGAGUGCUUGCCUUGCCUUGCAAGGUCCUGGGGUCCUGGUUUCAAUCCCCAGAACCACUC
rnacentral:tRNA from 1 species